AUCUACGGCCAUGCCACCCUCAUCCAUGCCACCCUCAUCCUGGAAUCUAAGUAUGGUCAGGCCUGGCCAGUACUUGGAUAGGAGACACCCCUAAGAAUACCAGGUGCUGUAGACU
rnacentral:rRNA from 1 species